UACAGAGACUGCAAGCGUUAUUCGGAUUCACUGGGCGUAAAGGGUGCGUAGGCGGUCUUCUAAGUUUGAUGUGAAAUCCCGGGGCUCAACCCUGGAAUUGCAUUGAAUACUGGAGGACUAGAGUACUGGAGAGGAAACUGGAAUUUACGGUGUAGCAGUGAAAUGCGUAGAGAUCGUAAGGAAGACCAGUGGCGAAGGCGAGUUUCUGGACAGUAACUGACGCUGAGGCACGAAGGCCAGGGGAGCAAACGGG
rnacentral:rRNA from 1 species